GUCCAGACUCCUACGGGAGGCAGCAGUGAGGAAUAUUGGUCAAUGGGCGGGAGCCUGAACCAGCCAAGUCGCGUGAGGGACGACGGUCCUAUGGAUUGUAAACCUCUUUUGUCGGGGAACAAAGGCGCCCACGGGUGGGCGGAUGAGUGUACCCGAAGAAAAAGCAUCGGCUAACUCCGUGCCAGCAGCCGCGGUAAUACGGAGGAUGCGAGCGUUAUCCGGAUUUAUUGGGUUUAAAGGGUGCGUAGGCGGGCUGUUAAGUCAGCGGUCAAAUGUCGGGGCUCAACCCCGGCCUGCCGUUGAAACUGGCAGUCUCGAGUUGGAGAGAAGUAUGCGGAAUGCGCGGUGUAGCGGUGAAAUGCAUAGAUAUCGCGCAGAACUCCGAUUGCGAAGGCAGCACGCCGGCGCCACACUGACGCUGAGGCACGAAAGCGUGGGUAUCGAACAGGAUUAGAUACCCCUGUAGC
rnacentral:rRNA from 1 species